rnacentral:tRNA from 2 species
AGGGGCGUAGCUCAAUUGGUAGAGCACCGGUCUCCAAAAUCGGGUGUUGCGGGUUCGAGUCCUGCCGCCCCUGCCA